AACGAACGCUGGCGGCGGGCUUAACACAUGCAAGUCGAACGCGUGUAGCAAUACACGAGUGGCGCACGGGUGAGUAACGCGUGGAUAUCUGCCUUUUGGUUCGGAAUAACCCCGGGAAACUGGGGCUAAUACCGGAUGGUUCCUUCGGGAUAAAAAUUUAUCGCCAAAAGAUGAGUCCGCGUACGAUUAGCUAGUUGGUGAGGUAAUGGCUCACCAAGGCGACGAUCGUUAGCUGGUCUGAGAGGACGAUCAGCCACACUGGGACUGAGACACGGCCCAGACUCCUACGGGAGGCAGCAGUGGGGAAUAUUGGACAAUGGGGGCAACCCUGAUCCAGCCAUGCCGCGUGAGUGAUGAAGGCCUUCGGGUUGUAAAGCUCUUUUGGCGGGGACGAUGAUGACGGUACCCGCAGAAUAAGCCCCGGCUAACUUCGUGCCAGCAGCCGCCGCGGUAA
rnacentral:rRNA from 1 species